GUGAGCUCCUCACCACGCCGCCGGGCACGCCCUUCCUGCUGACGCCGGCUGAGGAGUUGGAGGAUGGUGCAGGUGGUGCAGGGGAGGCAGAGGAGGAGGAAGAAGAGAUGACACACCUGAGCUUCUUCUCUAAAGAUCUGAAUGAGACGCUGGCGGAGGAGGAGCUGGAGCAGGAAGAGACAAAUAAAGAUCAGAUGACC
ensembl:lncRNA